rnacentral:misc_RNA from 1 species
GAUGAAGAACGUAGCGAAAUGCGAUAAGUAAUGCGAAUUGCAGAAUCCGUGAGUCAUCGAAUCUUUGAACGCACAUUGCGCCCUUCGGUAUUCCGAAGGGCAUGCCUGUUCGAGCGUCAUUAUCACCACUCAAGCCCGGCUUGCUGUUGGUGGCAGCGCAGCCGGUCAACCGGCUACGCUCCACCCAAAGAUAAUGACGGCGUCUGCGAGGACUCCUGUACAUUGAGCUUUCGGGCACGUACAUGGCUAGAAGUCCAGGCGCCGGUCGACGUCCUCCGGGACACUUUUUACCAAGGUUGACCUCGGAUCAGGUAGGGAUACCCGCUGAACUUAAGCAUAUCAAUAAGCGGAGGA